rnacentral:rRNA from 1 species
AGAUUGAACGCUGGCGGCAGGCCUAACACAUGCAAGUCGAGCGGUAGAGAGGUGCUUGCAUCUCUUGAGAGCGGCGGACGGGUGAGUAAUGCCUAGGAAUCUGCCUGGUGGUGGGGGAUAACGUUCGGAAACGGACGCUAAUACCGCAUACGUCCUACGGGAGAAAGCGGGGGACCUUCGGGCCUCGCGCCAUUAGAUGAGCCUAGGUCGGAUUAGCUAGUUGGUGAGGUAAUGGCUCACCAAGGCGACGAUCCGUAACUGGUCUGAGAGGAUGAUCAGUCACACUGGAACUGAGACACGGUCCAGACUCCUACGGGAGGCAGCAGUGGGAAUAUUGGACAAUGGGCGAAAGCCUGAUCCAGCCAUGCCGCGUGUGUGAAGAAGGUCUUCGGAUUGUAAAGCAACUUUAAGUUGGAGGAAGGUUGUAACUUAAUACGUUGCAACUUUGACGUUACGACAGAAUAAGCAACCGGCUAACUCGUAGCCAGCAGCCGUACGG